GCUACCUGCAAAGCCUUCUCCGUCUCUCUAUCAUCAAGUGGGUUCUCGCAAUUACCCUCUCUAUCUUUUUUUUUUUUGAGAAAAUUGAAACAAUAGCUUUGAUGGGUAUUGUUUACUUAAGGGAAGUACAUGGAACAGAAAUUCAUUGAGAAAAUUGAAACAAUGUAGGAGUUUUGAUGGGUAUUCAAACAAGUGGGUAUUGUUU
rnacentral:misc_RNA from 1 species